AAUCAACUUUCCCAGAUGAAUGAGUGCGGUCUGACUCAAAGCUAGUUUGUUCCAGUGUCUUCUGUGAGCUCCAUACUCCUGAAGCUAAUGCCUUCUCUGGCUUCUCCACAUUCCCAAGUCUCCCUGCUGGAUUGGUGAGCAGCUCUAGCAGAACCAGCAGUCUGGAGUUCUUAUCUACCCAGUAGAUGUCUGCUCUUCUCUGGAAGGUUGCCAUGGCAUUUUCCAUUAUGACAGCCUAAUGUUGAUGCAUGCUAUCUCUAUUUGAUUCAGUUUGGCCUUGCAGUCAUAUUCCAUUGCUACAGAUCAGCUCCCAACUGAUUAUCCGGUCUACUAUUGUGUGAGUCAGGUGCUGAGAACUCCUCUGUGCUUUUGACUGAAAGAAUCAGAGAUGGGUCUCACUAUGCAGCCAACAACAUCUGCAAACCUGGAGCAACUCUGCCUCAGCUUCCAGAGUUCUGGGAUUCGAGCAAUGGAUGACAGUGGCUUCACUGUUUCCCAGUGAUUGGGAUGGGCCACUGAAUAAAGUGCUCCCAGAUUAUGGCUUCAUAUGGAAUUGAGCAGAAAGAGUGACCUCUGCCUUUGACGACACUCAAGUGGCAUAGGAAUCUAC
rnacentral:lncRNA from 1 species